GAUGAAGAACGUAGUGAAAUGCGAUACGUAGUGUGAAUUGCAGAAUUCAGUGAAUCAUCGAAUCUUUGAACGCACAUUGCACCUCUCGGUAUUCCGGGAGGUAUGCCUGUUCGAGCGUCAUUUGUACCCUCAAGCUCUGCUUGGUGUUGGGUGUUUGUUCCGCCUCUGUGUGUGAACUCGCCUCAAAACAAUUGGCAGCCGGCGUACUUGUUUCGGAGCGCAGCACAUUUUGCGAUCCAGAUCAACGUACAGCGGCAUCCAAGAAGCCUUAUUUAACGCUCUUGACCUCGCAUCAGGUAGGGAUACCCGCUGAACUUAAGCAUAUCAAUAAGCGGAGGA
rnacentral:misc_RNA from 1 species